GAUGAAGAACGUAGCGAAAUGCGAUAAGUAAUGUGAAUUGCAGAAUUCAGUGAAUCAUCGAAUCUUGGAACGCACAUUGCGCCCCUUGGUAUUCCGAGGGGCAUGCCUGUUCGAGCGUCAUUACACCACUCAAGCUAUGCUUGGUAUUGGGCGUCGUCCUUAGUUGGGCGCGCCUUAAAGACCUCGGCGAGGCCACUCCGGCUUUAGGCGUAGUAGAAUUUAUUCGAACGUCUGUCAAAGGAGAGGAACUCUGCCGACUGAAACCUUUAUUUUUCUAGGUUGACCUCGGAUCAGGUAGGGAUACCCGCUGAACUUAAGCAUAUCAAUAAGCGGAGGA
rnacentral:misc_RNA from 1 species